rnacentral:rRNA from 1 species
ACGGGAGGCAGCAGUGGGGAAUAUUGGACAAUGGGGGAAACCCUGAUCCAGCGACGCCGCGUGAGUGAAGAAGUAUUUCGGUAUGUAAAGCUCUAUCAGCAAGGAAGAAAAUGACGGUACUUGACUAAGAAGCUCCGGCUAAAUACGUGCCAGCAGCCGCGGUAAUACGUAUGGAGCAAGCGUUAUCCGGAUUUACUGGGUGUAAAGGGAGCGUAGACGGCAAAGCAAGUCUGAAGUGAAAUGCGGGGGCUUAACCCCUGAACUGCUUUGGAAACUGUUUAGCUAGAGUGCAGGAGAGGUAAGCGGAAUUCCUAGUGUAGCGGUGAAAUGCGUAGAUAUCGGGAGGAACACCAGUGGCGAAGGCGAGUAACUGGACGAUACCUGACGCUGAGACACGAAAGUGUGGGGAGCAAACAGGAUUAGAUACCCUGGUA